GACGAACGCUGGCGGCGUGCUUAACACAUGCAAGUCGAGCGGUAAGGCCCUUUCGGGGGUACACGAGCGGCGAACGGGUGAGUAACGCGUGGGAACAUACCCCUCGGUUCGGAAUAACUCAGGGAAACUUGAGCUAAUACCGGAUAAGUCCGAGGUUUUAAUCGACCUUGGAGAAAGAUUUAUCGCCGGAGGAUUGGCCCGCGUCUGAUUAGCUAGUUGGUGAGGUAACGGCCCACCAAGGCGACGAUCCUUAGCUGGUUUGAGAGAACGAUCAGCCACACUGGGACUGAGACACGGCCCAGACUCCUACGGGAGGCAGCAGUGGGGAAUAUUGGACAAUGGGCGAAAGCCUGAUCCAGCCAUGCCGCGUGAGUGAUGAAGGCCUUAGGGUUGUAAAGCUCUUUUACCCGGGAAGAUAAUGACGGUACCGGGAGAAUAAGCCCCGGCUAACUUCGUGCCAGCCGCCGCCGUAAC
rnacentral:rRNA from 1 species